UGUCCCUGUUUUGGGUAGAGUUGCACCUGGUUUGAUGGUGCUUUUCUCAUAUCAGCCAGAGACAAAGUAACUCCUGUUUAUCCCACCUUGGCUUUUGGUCUGUGCUCAUGCCAGGUUCAUGGGCUGGACACAUGG